rnacentral:rRNA from 1 species
CCUACGGGAGGCAGCAGUGGGGGAUAUUGGACAAUGGAGGGAACCCUGAUCCAGCGACGCCGCGUGAGUGAAGAAGUAUUUCGGUAUGUAAAGCUCUGUCAGUAGGGAAGAAAGCAAUGAUGGUACCUGACUAAGAAGCCCCGGCUAACUACGUGCCAGCAGCCGCGGUAAUACGUAGGGGGCAAGCGUUAUCCGGAAUUACUGGGUGUAAAGGGAGCGUAGACGGCUGUGGAAGUCUGGAGUGAAAGGCGGGGGCCCAACCCCCGGACUGGUCUGGAAACUGGAUGGCUGGAGUGCAGGAGAGGUGAGCGGAAUUCCUAGUGUAGCGGUGAAAUGCGUAGAUAUUAGGAGGAACCCCAGUGGCGAAGGCAGCUUACUGGACUGUAACUGACGUUGAGGCUCGAAAGCGUGGGGAGCAAACAGGAUUAGAUACCCCGGUAGUC